GCUGUGUUACAGAAACUACUGUGGGGAUAGCACGGGCCAUUUCCUAACCCAGGUGGAGAGUCUCAGGAUUUUCUAUGAAGCCCCUUCAGAUCCUGCCUGAACUGGAAAGAUAAAGAUAAUCCCUGCCUUGGGAGCAGAGUUAGUUCCUGAGAUCCCAGAAUACUCUGGAAAGCCAUGGGUUAUGGGAGCGCGUCCUUCUCUCUCCUGAUCUGUCUUUGUACUGCUACAUCUCAGCGGAGAGCAGCUAGAACCAUCGAGAUCCCAGUACUGGAGAGUCUGAGGCCUCACAAAAACAAGCAGACAAGCAACAAAUCUCUCAGUAAACUGAACAUUUGACCACUG